rnacentral:rRNA from 1 species
GAUGAACGCUGGCGGCGUGCCUAAUACAUGCAAGUAGAACGCUGAAGGAGGAGCUUGCUCUUCUGGAUGAGUUGCGAACGGGUGAGUAACGCGUAGGUAACCUGCCUGGUAGCGGGGGAUAACUAUUGGAAACGAUAGCUAAUACCGCAUGACAACAGUUAUUGCAUGAUAACUGUUUAAAAGGGGCAACUGCUCCACUACCAGAUGGACCUGCGUUGUAUUAGCUAGUUGGUGAGGUAACGGCUCACCAAGGCGACGAUACAUAGCCGACCUGAGAGGGUGAUCGGCCACACUGGGACUGAGACACGGCCCAGACUCCUACGGGAGGCAGCAGUAGGGAAUCUUCGGCAAUGGACGGAAGUCUGACCGAGCAACGCCGCGUGAGUGAAGAAGGGUUUCGGAUCGUAAAGCUCUGUUGUAAGAGAAGAACGAGUGCGAGAGUGGAAAGUUCACACUGUGACGGUAUCUUACCAGAAAGGGACGGCUAACUACGUG